CAUAGAACAGAAUCUGUUGUAAUGAUCAAACCUUCAGAGAAUUUCUGAUUCGAGUGCUGUACAGUGGAAAUAGCAGCUAAUUUGGUGAUGCCAAUUUCAUUUCUGGUACGUUCUGCAGCUAGAUGAAGAGAUCUCAGGAAUUCUUGAAGUGGUGGGAAGAGUAACAAAUCAGGCAACCAUCAUGUGCAUGUCAUACGUCCAGUUCAGGGAAGAUAAAAGUCCAUUUGAUCUGGAACUCUACAAUGAAGCACUGAAAAUUAUUCACGAAUUUCCUGAAUACUUCCCCUUUGGUACUGGGAGGAACAAUUAAUUCUUUCUAGAGCUUCAGGUGUGCAACAUUACCUUGGCUGUCUUGCCUGACGGCAUGGUAAGAGUUGUAUUAGUUUCCAACAAAUAUACUAAGAAGAUGCUAUUACACGUGCCAUGUGUGGCCAGUGAAAUAUAUUUUCUUAGAAACUUUUCUUUGAAUUAGCUUAGCAAGAAGCAGAACACUUCUGUGGCUAUGUUACUGACUGUAUAUAUUUAAUCCUUCAUGAGGGAUGCUCUCUUGCAAGAUUUGACUUGCUAGAAAUUGAUGUUUUGUAGGCCUCUUUUCCAUUGUCCACAGAGGUUCCAGGAUACUUAACACAAAACUCAUACUGAAGAUUUUUGGUAGGGUUUUAAUGUAAAGAUAUUUUAAAAUUUUUUGCUUUGAUAUAAAUUUAUUGAACAUGGAGGGAAAGAUUUAUUUUGCAUCUUGAUAAUGGUCACUUCUCCAAUAAAUAUAUGGCUACAUUCAA